CACUUAGCUUCCUCUGCCGGGGCGAUCCAUCACAUCUGAGGGAGGCCGGGAAGGCAGACAGACGGUGGAGUGGGGCCUCCUCCUCCCCUGCUGAGGGAACCUGAUGCUCCCAGGAGCCCCCUUGCAGGACCCAAGUGGCUCCUCAGCCCGAAGGGCGACCCUGGAGGUGGGCACCGUCCUUAUCCCCAUUCUCCAGAUGAGGAAACUGAGGUACAGGGAGGCGAUGUGGCAUCCCCAGGGUGCAGCAGCAGAGGGAGGGCUUGGCUCCAGGCUCCCAGCGGUACACUCUUCCCUGCGGACCUAGGACCUUAGAAGGGGGCUGUGGGAGCCCCUGGCCCCAAAAGUGGGUUGCCCGUGACUCGAAACUCU
rnacentral:lncRNA from 1 species